rnacentral:lncRNA from 1 species
GAGAUUUAUAUUGUUAGUUUUCAAGUUGUCAUUUAUAAAAAAUAACAAAAAUGGAGAGUACAAUUUAUUAGAAUAUUUGGAGUAAAAAAAACUCGUAUCAAAAAUCCAAUUAGAAUACACAGACAAUUCAACAAUUCUCUGAACAUAAACGAGCUUCGAACCUUUCGGAAGGCUCGGCUGGAAAACCUUUUGCCGCCACUACUCCAAUCAGGUUCCUCAGCCAUGUCGCAGCUUCGUAUCUUUUUAUAAACAUAAGAAAAAAAAAUACAAGUCAUAAAAACUCACAUCAAAUAAUAACACAAUUGUUUAAUGCACAUAAGACUAUAUUUCAAUUAACAAUAUAUAAUUCUUUAAUGUACAUGCCAAUUUCCUUCUCCUGCUUUGAAAGCGGCUUCCUAGUGCAAAUUUCCAGUUGAAUGUCGAUCGGUAGUUCGGAAUUUUGAGAUUUUCAGCAUCUGAAUCUUUGAAUGGUUUCUACGAACUUGGACACCUUCUCGAACAACCUUAAAUGUUAUAAAAAAACAUUAGUAGAAUGCUAAAACAACCACAAACUCCAAAUAUGUAAAAUACAAUAUGAACAUAUAAAACAUUCAAUAUAGAGUCAUUGACAUAUGUUCUGGUCUAAUGUGCUUAAUGCCCCGUGCUCACCCUGUCCUCGUAUUUGCACCUGUUCAUAAAUAAAUAAAUUCAUAUAAAACCCAAAAUUUUUAAUUUUUAAUAUCAUACAAGCUAAAUUAAUUACAAUACGAAACAAUAUAAACCAUAUUGUUGCAUUAUCAAACAUAACAACUAACACACACACAAUAAGUUUCUCAACUAUUAAAAUCUUGUAGACUGAAAUCUUAAAAACCCAUAUCCCUAGAGCAAAGAAUUCAUACCAAUAAACACAUGGAAACUCAGGUUCACUAAACUAGGAGUUAUGUUCAUAAACGAAUAGAUAAUAGUUCAUCAUCAACAACACAAUAGACUUUUUAACAAUUGUUACAAAGAAAAUACACACAAUCUGAAGAACAAUAUACCAAAUCUUUAAAUAUUACCAAAUCUUUAAAUAUGCAUAUACCUAAGAAAAAAAACCGUUCAAAGAAACACCACUUACAAAUCAACGACUACUAAUUAUUUGCACGCUAUAAGGUAAAGUCAUUAAAACACUAAAAGAAUUUAAAGAACAAUUUACAGGAAAAGUUGGACGAAUUUUACCAGAUGAAAGUAAAACACAACAGCUGACGAAUUGGUGAAUAACAAGAUUAACAAAUUGAACCCAAAACAAUCGAAAGGAAAAAACAAUCAACGAACCCCAAAUCCCAAAACCAGUAUAGUGCCAAGCGAGAUAAGAUAUUGUGUGCAGAAUAUGGAAAAAUUUACUAAAUCGAAUCGCCAUUUGUUGUGGAAAGCUCGAAAUCUAAGGGAUUUGAUUGUUAAUCUAGUUUCUCUCUGCAAACAAAAUGA